GUCAGGCGUGGUGGCACAUGCCUGUAAUCCCAGAGAUUUGGGAGGCAGAGGCAGGAGGAUUGCUAGUUUAAGGCCAGUCUUAGCAAUUUAGCAAGUUAGCAAGACCCUGUCUCAA
rnacentral:sRNA from 1 species